CUACAACUCCCUCUUCUAUUCAGCCCCUUGAAACCAUUUUUAACUCAAUCCCACUCGUGACCUCUGAACAAAUGGGACGAUUUUAUUAUGAAUAUUCAUAAUACCCUCCUUUGAGCAUUGUUACAAAUUAAUAACAUUUAUUGCAUCUAAUUGAUAUUUUAACAACAUGCAUAUGAACAAGACGUUAAUUAAUGUUAACACAGAUGAUUUCCAUUGCUAAUUAACAUAAAAAAAUAACAAUAGAACACUGAACAAAUCAAGCUUCUACUUGGAAUAUAAAAAUUAAUUAUUAACACCAUAAAGAAAAAAAUAAAAUGACGAUUUUGAGUUCUUGAAGUUUGAUGAGGAUGAAUAAAAUGACGGCAACGAUGAUGAGGAAGUUGAUGUUGCAGUAGAAGACAUUGAAGAUGAUGGUGAGACACGAGUCUUUCUACCAUUUUGAGCGGUGAGCUUAGGGAAGAUAGUGCUGAAGAGGUUCUGUUUUAUUGAUUUCUUGUGCAUAGAUUUUGAUUUUGAAGUGGAAUGGUAUGAAGGAGGAGGUGUUAAAGGAGGAAUAGAGGUAUCAGCAAAAGUGUGCUUAGGAGUACCUGGACUUGACUCCCACAUGAAUGGAAUUGCACCUGAAGUUCCUCCAUAGUAAACCC
rnacentral:misc_RNA from 1 species